GACGAACGCUGGCGGCGUGCUUAACACAUGCAAGUCGAACGGAAAGGCCCUGCUUUUGUGGGGUGCUCGAGUGGCGAACGGGUGAGUAACACGUGAGUAACCUGCCCUUGACUUUGGGAUAACUUCAGGAAACUGGGGCUAAUACCGGAUAGGAGCUCCUGCUGCAUGGUGGGGGUUGGAAAGUUUCGGCGGUUGGGGAUGGACUCGCGGCUUAUCAGCUUGUUGGUGGGGUAGUGGCUUACCAAGGUUUUGACGGGUAGCCGGCCUGAGAGGGUGACCGGCCACAUUGGGACUGAGAUACGGCCCAGACUCCUACGGGAGGCAGCAGUGGGGAAUAUUGCACAAUGGGCGGAAGCCAGAUGCAGCAACGCCGCGUGCGGGAUGACGGCCUUCGGGUUGUAAACCGCUUUCGCCUGUGACGAAGCGUGAGUGACGGUAAUGGGUAAAGAAGCACCGGCUAACUACGUG
rnacentral:rRNA from 1 species